UAAGCAUAUCAAUAAGCGGAGGAAAAGAAACCAACAGGGAUUGCCUCAGUAACGGCGAGUGAAGCGGCAAGAGCUCAAAUUUGAAAUCUGGCCUCUUUGGGGUCCGAGUUGUAAUUUGCAGAGGAUGCUUCGGGAGUGGUCCCCAUCUAAGUGCCCUGGAACGGGACGUCAUAGAGGGUGAGAAUCCCGUAUGGGAUGGGUGGCCGCGCCCGUGUGAAGCGCCUUCGACGAGUCGAGUUGUUUGGGAAUGCAGCUCUAAGCGGGUGGUAAAUUUCAUCUAAAGCUAAAUACUGGCCGGAGACCGAUAGCGCACAAGUAGAGUGAUCGAAAGAUGAAAAGCACUUUGAAAAGAGAGUUAAAUAGCACGUGAAAUUGUUGAAAGGGAAGCGUUGUCCACCAGACUCGCCCGGGAGGGUUCAGCUGGCACUUGUGCCGGUGUACUCCCUUUCGGGCGGGCCAGCAUCGGUUUGGGCGGCCGCUAAAAGGCCUCGGGAAUGUAGCACCCUCCGGGGUGCCUUAUAGCCCGGGGUGACAUGCGACCUGCCUGGACCGAGGUUCGCGCUUCGGCGAGGAUGCUGGCGUAAUGGUGGUCAACGGCCCGUCUUGAAACACGGACCAAGGAGUCUAACAUCUAUGCGAGUGUUCGGGUGUCAAACCCGUCCGCGCAGUGAAAGCGAACGGAGGUGGGAACCCUUUGGGGUGCACCAUCGACCGAUCCUGAAGUCUUCGGAUGGAUUUGAGUAAGAGCAUAGCUGUUGGGACCCGAAAGAUGGUGAACUAUGCCUGAAUAGGGCGAAGCCAGAGGAAACUCUGGUGGAGGCUCGCAGCGGUUCUGACGUGCAAAUCGAUCGUCAAAUUUGGGUAUAGGGGCGAAAGACUAAUCGAACCAUCUGGUAGCUGGUUCCUGCCGAU
rnacentral:rRNA from 1 species